UGUGAAUUGGCCUUAUAUUCCCUGCAUCCAGACCCUGUUUUCCUGCCUCACCACCAGGCCCCUCCUCCAACAGUGGGGAUUAUAAUUCGGCAUGAGAUUUGGGUGAAGACAAAGAGCCAAACAGUAUCAUAUGAUAUUGACAAUCUGUCUCUCUCUCUCUUUUUUUUUUUUUUUUUUGAGACAGGGAAUCACUCUCUGUCACCCAGUCUUGAGUGCAAUGGUAUGAUCACAGCUCACUGCAGCUUCGAGCUGCCGGACUCAAGCAAUCCUCCCAUCUCAGCCUCCUGAGCAGCAAGACUACAGGCAUGCACCACCACACCUGGCUAAAUAUUUAAUUUUUUAUAGAGACAAGACCUUGCUCUGUUGCCCAGGAUGGUCUCAAACUCCUAAGCUUAAGUGAUCCUACUGCCUUGGACUCCGAAGUACUAGGAUUACAGUGAUGCAUUCAAGGAAACAGCCUGGAUUUUGAAAGAGCAAUGGCAGUUGAAGUGAUUAAUUUUACCAGUCUUCCACUCUUGCUUAACAACGGUAAGAAUGGGAUGUCAAGUUACCACCUUUUAAAUGGCAAAUUCUCCAUGAGUAGUAAUUCAUUCUAUAAUUCUUGAUUAUGAAAGAGGUGGCCAAAUUGAUUUCCUUACACAGAAGGAACAGCUUAAAGUGUUUAGGCCUGGAGGAAAAAAUGACCACAGAAAAGGGAAGUGAGGGCUGAGAAUACAUCUCAUUGUAAAUCUCAGGAGUUUUUCUCUGUGGAGCAAGUCAGGUUUCUGUCCUUCACUCACCCUGAGGUCAAUUUAACCUCUCAUUUUUCAGUAAACCAUGUAGGUCCAGGGAAGUCCCUUCCCUGCAACUUUGGAGAAAGUUUUUUAAAAGCAUGAGGUGAUAAAGAAAUGAGGCUCCAAAGGCCAGGUGUAUAAACCACAGAAAUCUUUUAGGAAAUAAGAAAUGACUAUUCCUUAACAACACUAAAUUAUAUUACAAAGAAGUAUCGUGGUUCUAAGGAGUAAAUGUGAGUAGCUGCUUUCUUCCUCAUGCCUUCAGCAAGCUAGUU
rnacentral:lncRNA from 1 species